rnacentral:tRNA from 1 species
UCUUCUGUAGCUCAGUGGUAGAGCGUCCGACCGGUUCACAGAAGGUCAUAGGUUCAACUCCUGUUGGGAGAA